AGGUAGCGAAAUUCCUUGUCGGGUAAGUUCCGACCUGCACGAAAGGCGCAACGACUUGGGCGCUGUCUCGACCAUGGACCCGGUGAAAUUGCACUGGUCGUGAAGAUGCGACUUACCCGCGGAAGGACGGAAAGACCCCGUGAACCUUCACUGCAGCUUGGCAUUGGCCGCUGGUCCCGCGUGUAGAGGAUAGGCAGGAGGCAUCGAUCCGGAGGCGCCAGCCCCCGGGGAGCCGCCCUUGGAAUACUGCCCUCGCGCGACCGGCGUCCUAACCCGAGGCCGUCAACCGGCUCGGGGACCGUGCCAGGCGGGCAGUUUGACUGGGGCGGUCGCCUCCUAAAGGGUAACGGAGGCGCGCGAAGGUCCGCUCGGGACGGUCGGCAACCGUCCUUUUGAAUGCAAGAGUACAAGCGGGCUUGACUGCGAGGCCCACAAGCCGAGCAGGUGCGAAAGCAGGCUCUAGUGAUCCGGCGGCCCCGAGUGGGUGGGCCGUCGCUCAACGGAUAAAAGGUACUCCGGGGAUAACAGGCUGAUCUUGCCCAAGAGUCCACAUCGACGGCAAGGUUUGGCACCUCGAUGUCGGCUCAUCGCAUCCUGGGGCUGGAGCAGGUCCCAAGGGUACGGCUGUUCGCCGUUUAAAGCGGUACGCGAGCUGGGUUCAGAACGUCGUGAGACAGUUCGGUCCCUAUCCUCCGUGGGCGCAGGAGAAUCGAUGGAGGCUGCCCCCAGUACGAGAGGACCGGGGUGGACGCACCUCCGGUGAACCGGUUGUCGACCAACGGCACGGCCGGGUAGCCGCGUGCGGCGCGGAUAACCGCUGAAGGCAUCUAAGCGGGAAGCCGUUCCAGGGAUUAGUUCUCCUUCCGGUAAGGGCCCAGGUAGACUACCUGGUCGAUAGACGGCAGGUGCAAGGGCGGCGACGUCCUCAGCCGAGCCGCACUAAUCGCCCGAGCUCUUCCGGAA
rnacentral:rRNA from 1 species